rnacentral:rRNA from 1 species
AACGAACGCUGGUGGCAGGCUUAACACAUGCAAGUCGAGCGAGACCUUCGGGUCUAGCGGCGGACGGGUGAGUAACGCGUGGGAACGUGCCCUUCUCUACGGAAUAGCCCCGGGAAACUGGGAGUAAUACCGUAUACGCCCUUUGGGGGAAAGAUUUAUCGGAGAAGGAUCGGCCCGCGUUGGAUUAGGUAGUUGGUGGGGUAAUGGCCCACCAAGCCGACGAUCCAUAGCUGGUUUGAGAGGAUGAUCAGCCACACUGGGACUGAGACACGGCCCAGACUCCUACGGGAGGCAGCAGUGGGGAAUCUUAGACAAUGGGGGCAACCCUGAUCUAGCCAUGCCGCGUGAGUGAUGAAGGCCUUAGGGUUGUAAAGCUCUUUCAGCUGGGAAGAUAAUGACGGUACCAGCAGAAGAAGCCCCGGCUAACUCCGUG